CCUACGGGCGGCAGCAGUGGGGAAUAUUGCGCAAUGGGGGAAACCCUGACGCAGCAACGCCGCGUGAGUGAAGACGUAUCUCGGGAUGUAAAGCUCUAUCAGCGGGGAAGAAGGAAGACGGUACUCGACUAAGAAGCCCCGGCUAACUACGUGCCAGCAGCCGCGGUAAUACGGAGGGGGCGAGGGUUAUCCGGAUUUACUGGGUGUAAAGGGAGCGUAGACGGCGUCGCAAGUCUGAAGUGAAAGCCCGUGGCUCAACCGCAGAAUCGCAUUGGAAACUGCGAGGCUGGAGUGCAGGAGAGGUAAGCGGAAUUCGUGGUGUAGCGGUGAAAUGCGUAGAUAUCAGGAGGAACACCGGUGGCGAAGGCGGCUUACUGGACAGUGACUGACGUUGAGGCUCGAAAGCGUGGGGAGCGAACAGGAUUAGAUACCCCAGUAGUC
rnacentral:rRNA from 1 species